AUUCCUUCAAUGCUAACAUUCACUGGACAAGCUAUAGAAAUAUUGUGGGUAAACUUUGUUAGCAGUGAAUAAAGUACUUUCACAAGUAUAAAGCAAGUGUUUGGUAAUUUUCCAAAAGACCUUCUAACCUAUCCUCUCAUUUCUCUACCUUUCCUGCACACCAGAGACCUCCAAUCCUAUCUUCGUUAAAUGAUGCAGCUUCUGGCCAGCCCAGAAAACAGUGCGAGGACUGGAGGGAAGAAACUGACUCAGGUGGAGGACAGGGCAUUAGAAAACGAAGGGCUGGGCUACUUCACUGUAAAAAGGAGCUAUUAGGGAAGGAAGGCCUUUUUUUCCCCUUAAUUCUUUAAGAUGCUUCUCCAGAGCUUAAGGACAACAGGAAACCAGCCUCCAAAAAGGACAGUUGUGAUACUUCACUCCCUCAUGACUCUACCACCUUUUUCUGCCUGACUCACGGGAUUAACUGUCUCAUCCUGUUCUGGGGCUCUUCCAUUUGCAGUCCCCAAAGGCGAUGAAGCUGAGAACUCAGGACCCUUAUCCUUGGUGGUGGGCUGGAUAGCUCAGCACAUGGAAACACAGGAGGUGUGGUAGGAGAGCUCAGUGUUAACUGCCUCCUUCAGGAACUUCUGGCCAGAAGUGAAAGCCUCUUAAAAUCACUAACAACAAGAUUUUUUAAGUGCUUCUAGAGUCUAAAGUGACUUUAUAGUUUAUCAUGUUGGUAAUGGUGCAGUCACCACAGAAAGCAUUAUUGGAACACAAGCAUGCAUUCAUCUUUGCAGAGAUUCAAUGUUUUCUUUAAAACUGAAAUGGAAUUAGCCAUGUUGACAUUCAUGGUUCAAAAUGUAUGCACCCCUACCCUGGCAAGACCUGGAGGCUGGAGUCCAACCAAGCCUUGUUGUAAACCAGGAUUGACCGCCUUCAACAUCAUCCCUCUGGGAAGCCAGCUUCUUUAAUGAAGAGACAGCUCUACGCUGGCACAAACUCUUACAAAGAAUAGAGAAAGGGGAGAUUUUUCCAACUCAUUUUGUGAGGCCAGAAUAACUUUGCAAUAUCCUUUUCAGGUUUUUGUAUCAAAAAAGGAAAACCACUGCUCCAUCUCAUUUAUAAACAGUAACACAAAUAUUCUUUUUUUUCUUAAGGUUUUCUUUUUCCUUUUUCUCCCCAAAGCGCCCCAGUACAAAAUUGUGUAAUUUUUUUAGUUGUGGGUCCUUCCAGUUGUAACACAAAUAUUCUAAAUGAAAUAUUAGGAAAUCAAAACCAGCAAUAUAUGUAAAAAAAAAAAAAAAAGGAAAUAUAUUAAGAACCAAACUGAGUGUAUCCUAGGGAUGAGUCAAUGUAACUCCAUGCAUUAAAAGAAUAAAAGAAAAAAAUUUUAUGAUCAUCUCAAAAAAUGUAGAAAAGGCAUUUGAUAAAAGUUCAAUAGUCAUUCAUGCUAAAAACAAUUUUAUCCGCUCAUAAGGAUCUUGCCAUCUGCCUCUGGAUCCAACCUCUAAGUCAAUCUGUCCAACAAGAAUCAAACGAUUUUAAUUUGUGUGUAAAAUAUCAUGGACUAGUAGUCCCACAAUAGUCCCAAUAACAAAAAGGUAACUGUCCUCACGUUUAGAGAGGGAGGAGGUGGAGAGGGGGAAAGGAAGAAAGAGAGAUACUGUGG
rnacentral:lncRNA from 1 species